AGGAAAGGUUGGGCAAUCGCGGUACAUCAGUAUCGAGGAAUGUCCGGACUCCGCAGGGCAGGAUAGCGGCUAACAGCCGUCCGGUGGUUUGCGCCACCGAGGAAUAGGGCCACAGAGACGAGACUGGCGCGCGGGCUUAACCGCACUGAUACGGCGACUUCCGUAAGGCGUCACCCCAAUAGGGUGACAGCGCGUCAGGGUGAAACGCGGUAACCUCUAUCCGGAGCAACAUCAAAUAGGCAUGCGUGUGAUUCGUCACGAAGGGCGGCUCGUCCAAGCAUGCGGGUAGAUGGCUUGAGUGCCUUAGUAAUAAGGUUGCCAGAGGAAUGAUUGCCAACCGGGAAACCGGUUUACAGAAUCCGGCUUACAGACCUUUCCUGUCU
rfam:Advenella kashmirensis WT001, complete genome.